rnacentral:rRNA from 1 species
UACUCCCGCCGGCGACCGGCGCACGGGUGAGUAACACGUAUGAAACCUGCCCGUAGCAGGGGGAUAAGCGGAAGAAAUUCCGUCUAAUACCGCGUAACAACCCGAGGAGGCAUCUCCUCGGGUUUAAAGGAAGCGAUUCCGGCUACGGAUGGUCAUGCGUCGCAUUAGCUAGUUGGNGGGGUAACGGCCCACCAAGGCGACGAUGCGUAGGGGUUCUGAGAGGAAGGUCCCCCACACUGGUACUGAGACACGGACCAGACUCCUACGGGAGGCAGCAG